GUACAACAUAUAUUACAGGACUAAGCUCCCUGUUGUGUUUAUUGUAAAUAAUCAAUUUGGUUUUUUUUUGUUCUAAACUUGCAUAAAUAUUUUACACUGGAUGUUUAAAAAUCAAUCUAUCAACUCGCUUCCAGUAGUUUUGAGUACUCUCAGAUCUACGUGUAAUGACCACAAUUAUUCAAAUUCCUAAGCAGGUAGCGAUUUUACAGUAGAGCGGGAUAUAAAGAAAUACGAAUUUCUUGAAUUUUGUUACGUUAGUAUGAACAGAACAGAAC
rnacentral:lncRNA from 1 species